rnacentral:rRNA from 1 species
GCAAUCAAGCCGCGUCUGUGAAAGUACAACUUAGCUGUGGGUCCCCGGAUCGAGGCGUAAGCCGUGGGGCUUGGGAUCGAGGUGUAAACCGUGGGGCUCGGGGCGCGGAGCUCGGGGCGGCGGCGGCCGCGAGUACCCAGAGAAACGAUAGCGGGUGGCCAGUCGCUAGAGGAUGCGGCGCGGGGAGGCGCGGAGGCGGAGCCGGCAGCACAGGCUUCUCGCAGGCAAGAAUAACUGCUACUUGGUGGGUAGAGGGGGUGAGGCGCGGUGCUCUCCGGAAGAGGCGCUGCUCUGGAGGACGGUGCUGUGCGACACGGUCAACCGCCGACCUUAGUACGUUUCGAGGGGUCCGCUGCGCCGGAAGUAGAGUUCACUAUCCCGGAGGAUGGUGCUGUUCGGUGAACUCUACCCUCCACCUUCUAGGGGUUUACACGUUUCGAUAGGCCACUGAAGCCCAGCUACCUCCCGGUGACUCGAUAGACGUGUACACCGUACCGGUUCCUCGACGAGCAAACCUUCCUCCGCCGUCAAAAGCAGUUGAAGUUCACCCCGAUUCGACGGAGACUAUUAGACUAAAGUGUUAACUACAUGUGUUUAAUAGAACUAUAACGUAACCUAUUCACCGACCUAGGGUAGUGUAUACGCUUCUUAAAAGGUGAAGACGUACUUCAUUUCCGUCUUUUCAACUAAUCUCUUCUUCUAAACUUACGACGUUGGUGAAGUUCCAUGCUCAAUUGUCUUCUCCCUCUGUCAUGGUAACUGAGUUAAGACAGUAAUUAACGACACUUGGAAUACUCCCCCGCCUUACAAUGGUUCAACUAAUUACACAUGUUGGACCGUUAUAGUUGAUCAGCACGACCCAAGCGUAAGUCCUGUUGCCGUUACCUUCUACUCGACUGUCCUAAACUAUUAGUAGUAAACCGAAUGUUCCGUCGCAAUCCAAACUAUGCCGUUUACGACCUCCGUAGACAACCACCACGUCAAGACCUGCUCCUCGAAGGACCUCCGGAAGACUUAGAAGAACUGUUUGAAUCACUACGAUAUGAGCAUCUGUUCGCUAACGAGUGAACAGUACGGUCAUAGGAAUUUGGAGGCCGCAACGUUGUCGACGACGUUUCCUAACUGGAAUGGGAACCACUACUUACAUCACUUAAACCAUGUGUUCUACUGAAGGUGGCGUCCCUAACAAACGAACGCCGUAACGGUAUGAACCUACGACUAUUAAGUAUGACGGACGUAUUGGUGGUAGGUACAAAAAGUGUCACCGAACUGAAGGCGAAAUUUGUCUUUUUUUUCUCCACAUUACUGGGUCGUUUCUAACCCGGAGGUACCGGCAAUAAAUAACGACCUGCCAGUAACCACUCCAAUGUGUCCAUACCGAACAGAGUGGGCAUACCACAACGAGUCUAACGUGGUCUCUGUGGAAUACUAUGGAGACUACAAGACUUCGACAAAUUCAAGGCAAAGAGCUUCAUGGGACGUCUUCGAGUUCUACCUAAGAGUUUUCGGCCCACCCAACUCUUUAACCUAUACGGUCCAAACACGGGUCUUUUCCUUCUCAAACGACCCACCUGUCUACAGUUCUACCUGCUUCUACCGUUUUGUUAGGAUGAUUACAUCAAAUCAAGUAAC